rnacentral:rRNA from 1 species
CUACGGGGUGCUCCAGUGAGGAAUAUUGCACAAUGGAGGAAACUCUGAUGCAGCAACGCCGCGUGGAGGAUGACGCAUUUCGGUGUGUAAACUCCUUUUAUAUGUCAAGAAAAUGACGGUAGCAUAUGAAUAAGCUCCGGCUAACUCCGUGCCAGCAGCCGCGGUAAUACGGAGGGAGCAAGCGUUACUCGGAAUCACUGGGCGUAAAGGACGCGUAGGCGGGAUAGAAAGUCAGGUGUGAAAUCCUAUGGCUCAACCAUAGAACUGCACUUGAAACUUCUAACCUAGAGUAUGGGAGGGAAGAUGGAAUUAGUGGUGUAGGGGUAAAAUCCGUAGAUAUCACUAGGAAUACCAAAAGCGAAGGCGAUCUUCUGGAACAAUACUGACGCUAAGGCGUGAAAGCGUGGGGAGCAAACAGGAUUAGAUACCCGUGUAGUC